rnacentral:rRNA from 1 species
AAAUGAAUAGACGGGGGCCCGCACAAGCAGUGGAGUAUGUGGUUUAAUUCGAAGCAACGCGAAGAACCUUACCAGGUCUUGACAUCCAGCUAACGAAGCAGAGAUGCAUUAGGUGCCCUUCGGGGAAAGCUGAGACAGGUGGUGCAUGGUUGUCGUCAGCUCGUGUCGUGAGAUGUUGGGUUAAGUCCCGCAACGAGCGCAACCCUUACUGUUAGUUGCUACGCAAGAGCACUCUAGCAGGACUGCCGUUGACAAAACGGAGGAAGGUGGGGACGACGUCAAAUCAUCAUGCCCCUUAUGACCUGGGCUACACACGUACUACAAUGGCCAUUAACAAAGAGAAGCGAAACCGCGAGGUGGAGCAAACCUAUAAAAAUGGUCUCAGUUCGGAUUGUAGGCUGAAACCCGCCUGCAUGAAGUUGGAAUUGCUAGUAAUCGCGGAUCAUAAUGCCGCGGUGAAUACGUUCCCGGGCCUUGCACACACCGCCCGU